AUAUUGACCUUUUGAGGCUGAAAUUUCAUGCCGGUUUUAAAAAGUAAAGUAAAUAACUUUGCAUCAGAUCAUACUGUCUACAUAUAUAGUUGAAAGUGACAGUCUUGUUACAUCCAGGUUCCAUGUUUUAUCAUAUCUGAGCAAAGAUUAGAGCAAAAAGAAGCAUAUCUCCAUCUCCCAUAUCAUUUAUAUGCUUUUUAAUAUGCAAAUGUGGGGAACGACCUAAAUUGACAACCUGUUUUUUUAAGCUUGACAUUGCUGAAGACCAUUUUAUUCACAUGUGUUAUGCUAUUUGAAACUUAUAUUUCCAUUAAAAGUACAUUUAUAACAUGUAAAAGGUUUUUUUAUAACUUAGCAACUUCAGAAAAUUGUGGUAAGUGAAAAAUAUUACAUUUCAUAUAAGGCCUCACUUCAUUUGAAAACCUCUAUUUUUUGGCACAGGCCCAUAUGAAAUUUACUUCUGGCCAUUUUUUAUAAGUCUGA